AAAAAAGGUAAGCUACUAAGAGCGAAUGGUGGAUGCCUUGACUGGUAAAGGCGAUGAAGGACGUACUAGACUGCGAUAAGCUACGGGGAGCUGUCAAGAAGCUUUGAUCCGUAGAUUUCCGAAUGGGGCAACCCAAUGUAUAGAGAUAUACAUUACCUAUAUAGGAGCGAACGAGGGGAAUUGAAACAUCUUAGUACCCUCAGGAAAAGAAAUCAAUAGAGAUUGCGUCAGUAGCGGCGAGCGAAAGCGCAAGAGGGCAAACCCAGUGCUUGCACUGGGGGUUGUAGGACUGCAAUGUGCAAGAGCUGAGUUUAGCAGAACAUUCUGGAAAGUAUAGCCAUAGAGGGUGAUAGUCCCGUAUGCGAAAAACAAAGCUUAGCUAGCAGUAUCCUGAGUAGGGCGGGACACGAGGAAUCCUGUCUGAAUCCGGGUCGACCACGAUCCAACCCUAAAUACUAAUACCAGAUCGAUAGUGCACAAGUACCGUGAGGGAAAGGUGAAAAGAACUGAGGUGAUCAGAGUGAAAUAGAACCUGAAACCAUUUGCUUACAAUCAUUCAGAGCACUAUGUAGCAAUACAGUGUGAUGGACUGCCUUUUGCAUAAUGAGCCUGCGAGUUGUGGUGUCUGGCAAGGUUAAGCAAACGCGAAGCCGUAGCGAAAGCGAGUCUGAAUAGGGCGCUUAGUCAGAUGCUGCAGACCCGAAACGAAGUGAUCUAUCCAUGAGCAAGUUGAAGCUAGUGUAAGAACUAGUGGAGGACUGAACCCAUAGGCGUUGAAAAGCCCCGGGAUGACUUGUGGAUAGGGGUGAAAGGCCAAUCAAACUUCGUGAUAGCUGGUUCUCUCCGAAAUAUAUUUAGGUAUAGCGUUGUGUCGUAAUAUAAGGGGGUAGAGCACUGAAUGGGCUAGGGCAUACACCAAUGUACCAAACCCUAUCAAACUCCGAAUACCUUAUAUGUAAUCACAGCAGUCAGGCGGCGAGUGAUAAAAUCCGUCGUCAAGAGGGAAACAACCCAGACUACCAGCUAAGGUCCCUAAAUCUUACUUAAGUGGAAAACGAUGUGAAGUUACUUAAACAACCAGGAGGUUGGCUUAGAAGCAGCCAUCCUUUAAAGAAAGCGU
rnacentral:rRNA from 1 species